CAUAAUAAUACUAAAUGAUGGUUUUCACACAACAGAUUUAAAAAUGAGGACACUACAUCAUGUGACCUGCAAGGCAUUAAUCUAACAGUAUCUGUUCAUGGAAACCUGAAGGGAAGUCUGAACUUUUAAGCUGGAGGGAGAGCUCUGUAAAGCUGUCUCUGGGGCAAGAUGAUGAAUGAAGUCCUGGCAGCUUCCUGUGUCCCAGGCCUUGUAGAAAUAACUGAGACAGACGUGCUUCAAAGUUCUAAUGUGCAUCACAUCGGAUCUUGGUUAAGGAAGCGUUAAAAGGAACCCGCCAUUACCUAUUGAGAAGGCUCUGUGCUCUCAGGCAUUUGUUUCUGAUUGAAUCCAGAGGUUGCAAGCAUGCCUCCCUGUAUUACCUGUUGGAGCAGGUUUAAUUUUAUAAAUUUUAAACACAAACUCUAUGAGUUUCUAGUUCAUAAUUGUUCUUUUUGAGGAUCCACUCAGAUGAACAAUAUUGCAUCUGUAAGAGAUACACACCUCCACAAGCCCAGAAUUGAUUGGAAAAUCAGUGACAACAAACUCCCAUCUGUAGCACCAUCCAGUACCAGUGACGGAAAGGACAAAGUGCUUGGAAUCCUUUGGGAAGAAGUCAUGUUGUGUUGGAACUACAAAUGACUGGAACCAUAGCUUUAGUACACCAAGACAUUUUUAAAAACACAGUUUGCAUAUACUAUGUAGUUCUUGACCAGUGGCUUUAAUCCAUUAUUAUUAUCUCCCCGGAUAUCAUCAAACAUUGAAAGUCCUCAACUUGCAUUAAAAAAAUGUUUUUAAAUGCAGCUUUAACAAAAUCCAGUGUUCAAUAUAGUCUUCCGAGUAUUGCACUCCAGCCGUCCUGUCCUUUUAUUGCAAACAGCAGGUACCUGGGUGGUAGACCAGAAGCCUUGUGGUAGAGUAAGGAAUGACAGUGAACAGGCAUACUACAUUGUAUCAUAAACAUACUUUAUAAGUACAUUUCUUAUUUGCUUCUUAUUCAGGCAGAGAUUAUAAAAGUUUGCUACAAGUAUCCAAAUCGGGAUUUGUGUUUUGGAAAUCAUCAGUGUUCACAAUACCUGCAGGGGGAAAAGAAUGGAAAGAUUCAAAUAUGCGUACCCUUUACACUUAAAAGAAUAUUUUCAGUCAUUCUUUUAUUUGUUUUGGCUCUGUCAGAAAUUAAAGUGCUUGGAAUGCUGUAGUCUGUGGUCUCUUGAAGUUUAGUCAAUGAGAACCUAACACCUUCACAGUAUGCUGUCACUUUGGACAUUCAUAAUAAAAAUUGAAACUGAUUUUGGUUGCUAGUCAUUUAUUUUGCUUUGUAGCUUAGUACAUCUUUAGUGGUUCGUGUUUGCCUAGCAGAUAUGCAAUCCUUAUCACUAUAUUUAAAGAUGUAGAGAUAAAUACAUAGUUCAGGCCCUCCACUGUAUCUGUCAUUGAAUCACUGAGAUUUUUCAAAUUUGAACAGCCACUCUUGUUAUUUCUUGAAAGGCC
ensembl:lncRNA